GGUUCAAUGGUGUAGUUGGUUAUCACGUCCGUCUCACAGCUCAUGUACACGGGAGGUCUCCGGUUCGAACCCGGGUUGAACCA
rfam:Daedalea quercina L-15889 unplaced genomic scaffold DAEQTscaffold_70, whole genome shotgun sequence.